UGAGCAGCAAGGCAUGCUGGGAGAUGUAGUCCGGGUCCUGGUGGCUCUAGAACACACGCCAGGGCAUGCUGGGGGAUGUAGGCCAGCUCUAGGACAGGCAGCAAGGCAUGCUGGGAGAUGUAGUCCAGCUCCAGCAGCUCUAGAAGGGGCAGCAGGGCAUGCUGGGAGAGGUAGCCCAGCUCUAGGGUAGGUAGCAAGGCAUGCUGGGAGCUGCUGUCCCACAUCCAGCAGCUCUAGGAUAGACUGCAAGGCCUGCUGGGAGCUGUAGUCCAGUGCCCUCCCCUUCCCAGCUCUGUGGUGGGGGGCACCCAGGUGCAUGCUGGGAGUUGUAGUCCAACCCACCCACUCCUCCACCCCCAUGGCAGCAGGGGACAUCCUCAUGCAUGCUGGGAGUUGUAGUCCAGCCCCCCCCCCAGCUCCACAAUACCUUGGGGCACUGCAGUGCAUGCUGGGAGUUGUAGUGCUCGCAGGGGGGGCAGAGGCUCCGGGCCCCGGGGAGGGGGCAGAGCAGGGCGUGCGGGGGGGGCUCCCCGCC
rnacentral:lncRNA from 1 species